ensembl:lncRNA
CGGAAUGCCUGUUGCUUCUCUCUCUGCCCUCCGCCAUGUGAGGACACAACAAGAAGUCAGCAGUCUGCAAUCCAGAAGAAGACCCUCUCCAGAACCUGACCAUAGGGGUACCCUGCUGUUCUAGCCUCAGAAUUGUGAGAGAAUAAUUCCCAUUGUUUAUAAGCCACCCAGUCGAUGGCAUUUUGUUAUAGCAGCUUGAACCGACUAAGACAAAUAGGAAGAAUGAAACACACCUCCCCCUGAAAAGUCCACAUCGUAAUUCCAGGGAACUCUGAAUACAUUACCUUACAUGGCGGAAGGGACUUGGCAAACGUGAUGAAGGACUUUGAGACUGAGAUAUCAUUGGGAUUAUCCAGGCUGUCCUCUACAUUGUCCAGAAUCAGGGGUCUGCAGUGGAGACUGCUCCAGGGACCUCACUGCAUUCCUUUCUUCACUUGCCGGGGUGCUUCUGUCUACAGGCCUGGCUGGGCCAUGUCAGCAUUUCUGGGAUGGAUCAAGGACUUCUAGGAAGGUUGAGUUAGAACCACGAGUUCUGUUUCCAGACCAUAAGGAGCCUAUGGGACACAGCAUCAUGCAGCUGAAGCCCUUCUCUGCUCCAGAUUCCCAGGGUAGACUGUGUGGCCCCAAGGAUCCUGGAUUCACCUGUGAGAGGACCAGCCAGCAGCCAAGAC